GCAAACUUGGUCAUUUAGAGGAAGUAAAAGUCGUAACAAGGUUUCCGUAGGUGAACCUGCGGAAGGAUCAUUACCGAGAGUUGGACUUCGGUCCGCACCCUCAACCCUUUGUAUACCUAGUAUGUUGCUUUGGCGGGCCGUCGGGCGCCCCUCCCCCUGUGGGGUCGGGACGUCCCGCCGCCGACCCAUGUGGUCGGCGCGUGUCCGCCGGAGGUUCCACGAACUCUAUGUUAACGUCAGUCGUUUGGGCCCAUGGGGCCUUAUGAUUUUUAAUCAUGUCAAAACUUUCAACAACGGAUCUCUUGGUUCCGGCAUCGAUGAAGAACGCAGC
rnacentral:misc_RNA from 1 species